rnacentral:rRNA from 1 species
GAUCAAGCGACUAAGCGCGCAUGGUGGAUGCCUAGGUGGUAAGAGGCGAUGAAGGACGUAGUAGCUUGCGAUAAGCCUCGGGGAGCCGGCAAACAGGCUUUGAUCCGGGGAUUUCCGAANNNNNNNNNNAACAUCUAAGUACCCAGAGGAAAAGAAAUCAACCGAGAUUCCCUCAGUAGCGGCGAGCGAACGGGGAACAGCCCUUAAGUCGUAUUGUGGUUAGCGGAACGGUCUGGAAAGUCCGGUCAUAGAGGGUGAUAACCCCGUACACGAAAGCCACUUUGCGAUGAAAUCGAGUAGGACGGGACACGUGAAAUCCUGUCUGAACAUGGGGGGACCAUCCUCCAAGGCUAAAUACUCCUUACCAACCGAUAGUGAACCAG